GGGUUGUGAGGUUAAGCGACUAAGCGUACACGGUGGAUGCCCUGGCAGUCAGAGGCGAUGAAGGACGUGCUAAUCUGCGAUAAGCGUCGGUAAGGUGAUAUGAACCGUUAUAACCGGCGAUUUCCGAAUGGGGAAACCCAGUGUGUUUCGACACACUAUCAUUAACUGAAUCCAUAGGUUAAUGAGGCGAACCGGGGGAACUGAAACAUCUAAGUACCCCGAGGAAAAGAAAUCAACCGAGAUUCCCCCAGUAGCGGCGAGCGAACGGGGAGCAGCCCAGAGCCUGAAUCAGUAUGUGUGUUAGUGGAAGCGUCUGGAAAGGCGCGCGAUACAGGGUGACAGCCCCGUACACAAAAAUGCACAUGCUGUGAGCUCGAUGAGUAGGGCGGGACACGUGGUAUCCUGUCUGAAUAUGGGGGGACCAUCCUCCAAGGCUAAAUACUCCUGACUGACCGAUAGUGAACCAGUACCGUGAGGGAAAGGCGAAAAGAACCCCGGCGAGGGGAGUGAAAAAGAACCUGAAACCGUGUACGUACAAGCAGUGGGAGCACGCUUAGGCGUGUGACUGCGUACCUUUUGUAUAAUGGGUCAGCGACUUAUAUUCUGUAGCAAGGUUAACCGAAUAGGGGAGCCGAAGGGAAACCGAGUCUUAACUGGGCGUUAAGUUGCAGGGUAUAGACCCGAAACCCGGUGAUCUAGCCAUGGGCAGGUUGAAGGUUGGGUAACACUAACUGGAGGACCGAACCGACUAAUGUUGAAAAAUUAGCGGAUGACUUGUGGCUGGGGGUGAAAGGCCAAUCAAACCGGGAGAUAGCUGGUUCUCCCCGAAAGCUAUUUAGGUAGCGCCUCGUGAAUUCAUCUCCGGGGGUAGAGCACUGUUUCGGCAAGGGGGUCAUCCCGACUUACCAACCCGAUGCAAACUGCGAAUACCGGAGAAUGUUAUCACGGGAGACACACGGCGGGUGCUAACGUCCGUCGUGAAGAGGGAAACAACCCAGACCGCCAGCUAAGGUCCCAAAGUCAUGGUUAAGUGGGAAACGAUGUGGGAAGGCCCAGACAGCCAGGAUGUUGGCUUAGAAGCAGCCAUCAUUUAAAGAAAGCGUAAUAGCUCACUGGUCGAGUCGGCCUGCGCGGAAGAUGUAACGGGGCUAAACCAUGCACCGAAGCUGCGGCAGCGACGCUGAUG
rnacentral:rRNA from 1 species